AGUAAUGAAAAGGUUAAAUUUGGGCCGGUUCUAUUUCUUCCCACUAGGCGAAAAUGCAAAAUAAAACUAGGCAUUGUUAUAUGUCGUUUAAAUGAAUGCGUGACAAAAUUUUUUUUAUAACGUCGAUUAACAUAAAUAGAUAACGUAUCUUGUCCGAAGGCUUUUUGAAAAUUCAAUGAAACCAGAAGACAUGAUACUUAAAAAGAUUGUAACAGUGUCGCUUUUCUCAAGUGUUACAAGGGAGGAGCUUGAAGCUUUUCUUACAAAACGCUGUUUACCAAAGUUAAACCUAAGAUUGACUCCGAGGCAUUGGUUCAGCUUGAAAAAUAAAUGGAAUUACUUUGAAGAUGAUUGCCACAAUUCAAAAAAUAAAAAACACUUUGAAAAAAACAUAUUAUAUAAAUUUGUUUUCUAAUUAUCAAAAUUUAAUCAUUUGUGACGCAACGAAAAAAUUCCUACUUUAGUCAGCUCCAAUAACGUAGUUAUUCUAUCUAUUUACGCUUAAAAGCAUAUGAAUAUAACGACUAAAUGUAAAAAUGAACGCUUUUAAGCUCCAUUAAAUAAACGAAAACGGUCAAUAAGAAUGGAAAAGAACUGAAGAUUAACAGAGUCAAAAGGUACCCCAAAAUUUUAAAAAAUUUACGACGUUUACUUGCAGUAUAUUUUAUGAAGAAAAAGAGAAUGUUAACUUUUAAAGUGACCUACAUUCAACGCGAUG